AGAGAGGAAGUGGCUAGAACAAAGGAAGACAGAAGGAAACGGGGCCCUACGGGAUCUACAUAAAGCUGCGAUUCUCACUCACGAGCAUCUCCCUGAGUGUGGUUUUAUGGCCACAAUACGUGUCCUCAUAGUCUACCUGCGGUGAAGGUAUCUGCCUACGAACGUCACAGCAAAUCCUUCCGAGAGAAGCAAUCCUGUUCGUCUCCUUGACGGUGGCACCACGUGACAGGGUGCCAUGGCUUUCCAUCCUGAACAUCUCAUUGGACCACCUGGCACGUCUGCUGAUGGUCACGCAUCAACUUCAUUGCCAAGCCACACACUAAACAACAGUUCUACUUUUCAAUUAAGAUGUUGAUCUGAGGUCACCCAGGAGGCCAGGAAGGGCAUUAGCUCCCUCUCCUUAUGUUCCAGUUCAGCCUCUUUCUUUGGUUUUUGGUUAUUGGAGAAAGUAUUUUCCUACACACCAAGUAUGGUCUGUUAGUAAUAAAUC